rnacentral:SRP_RNA from 1 species
UGGGGAGCUGUCUGGACAGAUUGCUUGUGAACUCGGUCAGGAUCGAAAGAUAGCAGCCGCAAUAAGUUUUAUUUGGGUCAGACAGUUUCCUGUUU